ensembl:lncRNA
AUUUGCUUUCCAUUUUUCAGAGGCUGCUUUAAAGACAGGCUAAAUUAUUAACCAGAGGCACUAACAUUUGGAAAACAAAAAGCUCAAGGACGUACAUACAGUAGCUCUAAACCUGCAGUGGUGUGGGGGAUGUUUCUUGACUGAUAUUGGAAGUGUAGAAUUAGCAUAAUCAGCAGUCAUUACUCCAGAGUCUCUGGACUCUUUGAUACUCUUGCUGUGAGCAGAAUGUGCUUCAACAUGCUGUGUUCCACUCAUUGAGAAAAUGAAAGAUUUGAAGAGACUGUGGAUUAAUGAUCUCCAGUUGGCCAGUUUCACUUGUGUAGGUAACAGCAGAUGGCAGAAGAGGGGCAGUCUGACAAAAUGGUGUCUGACAUGGAAGUGCGGAUGAAGCAAAGGUGUGUCACUGACUUCCUUCAUGUGGAAAAAAUGCCACCCACUGACAUUCAUCAGUGCUUGCUGAAUGCUUAUGGAGACCAAAAAGUGGAGCAUGUUCCCUAGCCUCACAGACCUCAGAUCUGUAGUUGAAGCACUGGAGCUGAAACCGUAUCAUUGGCACUGGGACAACUAGGCUGGACUUGGAUAAUUCCAGAAUCCUCACUGCAAGACCUGAUACAUCUUCUCAGAUGGGACAGUUAAGCAGUUUCACUAUUACUUGCUCUCCUUCUUCCCUAUUCCCCUGUGGUUGAUUCACACAAAAAUAAAUUAUCUUCAUCAGCUAUACUUUUCAUGCACAGCUCUUGGUCUAGGCUGCUGGUUUAAAAGAUCUGAAUUAAAAUCUAUUUACUUCCAGUGUCACGUUGAAAUACUGGUUUAUUUGCAGGAAAUGUUUCAUUUUGUUUUUCUUUUAGGAUUCUUUUUUCUUUCACUUCCUUUAUUUUAAGAUAUAUUUUACCACUUCCUAUUUCAGCCUUUGUAUAAGUACUUGUUGAUAAUCUAUUAUUUUUUCUAAUUAUAUUUUUAUAUCUCCUUUAUUCAGUGUACUGCUGAAGGAAAAGCAGAACAAUAAUAAAAGUAAAUGAGCUAUAUGGUUGAGAUGAAAAUUAAAUAGCCUUUCUGAAUUUGUCAGUUUUCUACAUAGUUUUUAUUUGAGAGUUUAUUAUAAAUGCAACCAUGCUGAAUUGAAGUUGUAAAGACUUGUUCUGCCUUUCCCUACUUCCUUUGUGCUUGCUUUUGUGGCUGUGGUGAAGCAUGAAGUAUUCAAUUUAAUAAUUACAUUUAAAAGAAAGUUAAUUAUACAAAGCUGCUCUGUGCCACAUCCACAUAAAUACAUUUAGUUGUCAAAUUUGCUGAAAUUUGAAUCUCCCUGGAAGAGCAUUAGUAUUACAAUUUUGCACACUUCAACAGCAGCUAUGUAAAUACUCAACUCUGAAAUCAAAUGCUAAUUUUUCCCAAGGAUUAGAUAAGUCAUGUAGCUAAUAUUUUUGUUGACUUUUAUCCCAAUAAGAUUUGCACUGUCCUACUUACAAUGUGAAAAAAUAGAUUUCUGGUUAGGACACUUGGCAAUCACGGGGAUGUUGCAGUUCAGAUCCAGUUGUUGAUGUGUUCUCAUACAUUUUCAGUCACAUCAUGUUUUUAAAACAUGCUCAGUCAUAUUUUUAGGAUAUGUUGAUUUUUUUGUGUGUUUGGAGGUGAAGACAAUAUUUUACACAGUCAUAUAUACUGUAAGCUGCUAAAUAGCAUAUCCUUUUAAUGUGACAAAUAUCUAUACUGUUAGCUAACAUGGACAGUGCAAUCUCAUUGUGGGAGUUAAAUGAUGAGAUGAAAUAGCCCAUGAUCUUGGAAAUGUGGGUUACAGUUUCUUAGGUAUUACAGACUAUAUCACUAAUGAAGCAAUUUGUUCUGUGUCCACUCACAUUUCAUUUGCUGCCAUCAACAAUUAAGAGAUGUCGUAGUAAGGUCAUCGUAGAUUAACACCUUGUCUUUGCAAAGAUCUCAUUAAAAUAGAGAGGAAUUCUAAUUCCUAGCCAAGAUAAUGUUAAUUUGAUGAGAGAAUAAAUAUUGUGGAAGCAAUUUGUGCAAGAGAAAUGAAUGUUAAAGGUAUUAUUCUCUUUUCAAUAAAAGAAGUAAUUCUUACAUGGAAAGAUAGCCUAUUGAAAAAAAUAGUCAGACAUGUUACUGCAGGAAAUGGUUAGAUACCUUGGCCUGGUUAAGGAAGCAUGUCAUGUUGUCCGAGAUUUGCACAGAUGUGCAGAGCCAUAAAUAAAUUGAACAGAAAAUAAGAUUUCUCCCUUUGCUGGUUGCCAGUGUUACAGUUAAACUACAAAGAAAGUAAUUUCUCCAACCAUCAUACAUUUACUUCCCAGUCAUCCUCGAAUGCUUGUAACAGUGAAGGGCGUUGUAAUUGACAUUUCAUUCUAAUACACUGGCUGCCUUGCCUGAAUUUUGGCUGGUUGAUAAGGCUCUUGGAAAUCCAGAGUCUCAUCAUGUCCUGAACAAUUUCAAUCCAGCCCUAUGGCAAUCUAAGCGCUUAACCAGCAAAACAGGAAAGACAAUAUUUGGAGAUGCUACCUUUCAAAAUGCACACAGCAGAGUAACUGAAAUAAUCAAAUUGCUCCUGAAUAAUCCUUUUUCAAAUUUGAAAGCAGAAUGAAGAAAAGAUUUAAAAGAAUAUACAUGUCAAUUUAAGCAAAUAAAAUGUGCAGACAUGAAUUCAUCACAACUGUAUUGUCACUGACGUUGCAUUUCAGAUAAAUUUGAUGAUAAUAUCACAUUUUUUUAAAGGAGGAAAAAAAUCAAUAAUUUUGUCUACAGACUUUGCAUUAUAUUCCAGUUACUUGAAAGAAAAUGUCAUGUGCAUCAACUCAUUCUUCAGGAUGUACUUUCUGAAAAGAUGUGGAUAAUAUUACAUAGACUAAGGGGAACACAGCUACGUUUGAGCUGCUUUAAGGCAAUGGUCCAUGUGCAUGCCCUACCAUGUGGAACCCUGUUGAGAAUCAGAGUUUAUUCAGAUGGCAGCAGAGGGAAGGUCUGACAGAAUGCUGUUUGACAUGGGAGCAUGCAUGAAAUGUGGAAUUCCUCCAUGUGGGAAAAAUUGCACCCACUGAUAUUCAUUGACACUUGCUGAACAUAUAUGGAGACCAAACAGUGGAUGUGAACACAGUGAAGUGAUGUGUGGUGUUUCAGCAGUAGCAACAGUGAUGUGAAAGACAAGCCAUAUUCCAGAUGGCCAUGAAGAUUUUUAUGAGCACAACAUUCAGGCCUUUGUUCAUUGCUAGUGAUGAAUAUGUACAAAAAUAGUAUCCUGUAGCUGAGAAUUUUGUCUGUCAGUGUUAUUGUACUCUUUGUGUCUGUUAUAGUUUCCAUGGAAAUAAAUAGGAGGCAUUACUUUUGGAACUACCAACAGAGAUAACCAGCUAUAAGCCAAAUUUCUAACUUUCAAAUGACUAAAUUUAGGUUAGAUGUAGUCCAUGCAUAACUGUAUUUUCUUAUUCUAUGAAGAAUGUAAGAAUGGCUACAGUAGUUUAUAUCCUAAGUCUCAACUGAUGGCUAGUAUUGCUUGUCUAGAAAAGAGUUUAUGAUAAGGGAAAUAAUAUGUCCGCAUUGUUCCCUAUAUGUUUGCAUUCUUCAGUCAUCUGACACUAAGCAUGAUACUCAGUUUGAGAUUUGGUCUUCAUAUCACAUUCAAAUAGGAAAUGCUGAGUGAUUUAAUGUAACUAAUGCAAUCUAAUCUGUAGCCAUUAGACAAAAAUAACAAUUAGACGUGCCACUUUUCUGCAUGGAUAUUACAAAUUUAAGGCCAUCCCUUAUAAAUGAAAAAUGCUACUUCAGAGUGUUUACUGAAAACAUGAGGGCAUUUUUACCACAAGAAAACUACACAGUGAUUGUUAUCUCCAUGUAAAAUCCUAACAGGCAUAAGGUAGAGCUAGUUUUAACCUCAGAGCACUGAGAUAAACCUGAAGAAGUAAAUACAAAGCUGACCUUCACUGACCAUAUCAAGGCAUAGAUAUAGAUAGCUAUUACAUUGUUUGAGAUAUUCUCUUUUUUGUUUUAUUUAUAAUAAAAUACUUCUGUCCUUUAUUUCUCCUUACUUCAGUGAUAUAAUAUGGAUGCUUUUCCAGUUCAGAGGUGAAGUUUUUUUCUCUGCAAAAGUAACUCUAAUCCCAGUUUUGUCCACUUCUGUGUCUGCAUUUCUUUAACUGGUCACUGAAUCACAAAAUCACAGAAUUGCAGAAAUUGAAAGAGACCUCAAGAGAUCAUCGAGUCCAGCCUGCCCCUGCUAAAGCAGGUACCCUACAAGAGGUCACACAGACAUGGUUUCAUCUGAAGAUUUACUGAUGGCCCACUUAAUCACCUUGUCCAGAUCAUCAAUGAAGAUAUUAAACAGGACCAGCACUAAUACUGACCCCUGGAGAACACCAUUUGUGACUGGUCACCAGCUAGAUUUAACUCCAUUCACCACCACACUCUGGGUCCAGCCCUCCAGCCGGUUCUCUACCCAGUGAAGACUGUACCUGUUCAAGCCAUGGACUGCCAUCUUUUCCAGGAGAAUGCUGUGGGACACAAUGUCAAAGGCUUUAUUCAUGUCUAGGUGGACUACAUCCAUAGCUUUUCCCUCAUCUACUAGGGAAUUUUUGUAGUCAUGAUCCAAAUUUUCAGAAGGUAUCUCUGUAUCCUGAUGAAGAGAUCUUUUAAAUGGCUCAUUGAAGGAGACUCAGAUUGCCUAGAAACUGAUGCGCAUUAUGGUUCCACACCCUUACUCAUAAUUUUUAUAAUUAAUAAAAAUUCAGAGAGAAACUCCUUCCAUUUUAAAUUUGCCCAUAGCACUCCUGUGCUAGAGUUUAGAAUUCUCGACUCUGAAGAUAAACGGAAAAUUAUUUUUUCUAAUUGUAUCCAGGAGCUUUUAUGUAGCAUAUUUUAAAAUGUCACAAAAUAAUGAAGUUUAGAUAAGCCAUUAAGGAAAAAACAUGUUUUUCAACUGAGUAAAGAUGCCAGCAAUUCAAACAAUAGUGCUGCAUUUGUCAGAUAAUUAGCCAAUGAUUGUCUUUUGAACUCUGAAAAUAAAUUUAGAAGGAGCAGAUAUGCUGUGCUGUAAAAUGUGAGAGCUUUCAGAGUUUUUUUUUCUUCUUCUUUUUAAGACUUUUGCUUAAAGAUUUUUUUUUGAAGUGUUUUCUAACUAAGUACUUGAAUUAUGUACACAUGAAUAGCCUUUAAGGAAAUCAUACAGGUCUCUUCAACUAUAUGCUAUACAGAUUUUAAUUUUACAGAUUUUUAUUAUUUUAGUUCCACUAAAUGCUUUUAGUUAAGGUUGACCAAAAUUUUCCCCUUUGAGACCAGUUUUUAAAUUCCUUGUAAUUGCCAUAUUUAAACUGUUCAUGCUGUUGUGCCCCAUGCCAUAUGUCUACUCUGGGAUGAAUCAGUUUGGAAAAUUCCAUAAAAAUGGCUCAGUAGUUUUGCAGUAUUGACAAAAAUGCUUUUUUUUUCCCCCCAUAACUAAUAUAUUAUGCUGAAGCAGUUAACUUGAAUACUGUUGUUAUUUCCUAAUGAACCUCUGUUUAUGUUGUAUUGAUGUCCUGUAGAAAUGAGUCCAAAUGAAACUUCUGAUAAAAUCUUAGUAACUUGUGGGAAUACAAGAAAAACUGUUCAGAGGAGCAGCUGUGGAGCAAGAUAAACAGCAGUAAGCAAAAGAGCAAAACAAACAAAAAUUGAUCUCUCCUCCCAGCUAUUCAUUUUACUAGGGAUCAAACUCUAUGGUCAAGUAAAAGUUUUUGAUGAACGUUACUUUAGAAUAAAUAUAUCUAAUUAAUUGAAUAGUACUUAAAACGUCAUUUCAACUCUACACAUUUAUUUUUUAGGUGCAAAUCUUUCCCAAGAAUAUUCACAGAACAGAGAAUCAGGCGUAAAACCUAUCUACAUUUACACACUACUUUUUGACAGCAACAUCUUAAAUGUACUAUACUAUUCUGACAUUUUUAAGAGAACUUUUAAGAGAAAAUACUUGUGAGUAUCUGCAGUUCAAAUUUAUGCUAUUCUUUCUUUAUGGUAACUCACAAUAUUGUACACUAACUAUCAAAAGAAAGAAAUUUGUGAUUCCCCUGCAAUAUUUGCCUUUGGAUAAAAGAGGAAAAAAAAUCUAAUGCCUUCACAGACUGUAAUAAGUCUAAAAUUCACAAACUAAACCUCUAGUUCUAAUAACAUGGAAAACAUGCUUAACUCUGGUCACUCAAAUACUUCAGGGUAAGUCCACCUUCAUCUGUUGAAUACUCUUGCAUCCUCAGCACAGUAGCCAGGAAAAUUGACUGUGUGACAUAUCCAAGGUUUUUUUUUGUUUUGUUUUUACCAUGGAAGCCACUCUGUGUUCAUGUGCCUGCUUAUCCUACUGCUUGUUGUUGGUUUAGCCUGGCAGGCAGCUCAGCACUACACAGCCGCUCAUUCUGUUUCUGCCACACUCUUCCUCGCAGUGGGAUGAAUGAAAGAAGUGGAAAAAAGGGUAAAACUCGUGGGUUGAUAUAAUUGCAGUUUAUAAAACAGGAAAGGAAGGGAAAAUAAUGAUAUUGGUCUUAGAAGCCGCUAUUUCCCCUCUCCCUACCCCCCUUCUGGACAACUCCCCCAGUUUUAUUGUUCCAUAUAAUGCCAGAUGGCAUGGGAUAUCUCUUUGGCUAGUUUGGGUCUGUUGUCCUGAUUCUGUCCCUCCCCCCAGCUUCUUGUGCACCCUCAGCUCCUCACUGGCAGAGCAAUACAAGAAGCAGAAAAAACCUCAGUGCUGUGCAAGCAUUGCUAUGCAACAGAUAAAUAAUCGGUGUGCUGUCAACAUUAUUGUCAUCUGUCUCGAUCCAAUUUAUCGAAGAGAGAGGAGGUUCUUUGAUAUAUGUAUACCCAGCAUGAGAUUAAGAAACAACGGUUCAAAUGUUGGUCCGACCAGUUUAUUAUAAAUUCUAGUUGUUCAGGGAGAAGGGGAAGGGAGAAGGGCAAUAGAAAAGAUAGGAAAUGGAAGCAAGGAGUCUGUGUAGGAAGCAAGAGGGAGAUAGUCACCACCAUGGGUUCAAUGUGGUUCGUAGGUCAGUCCUCGAUCUUCAGUAGUGGUGGGUCAUCAGGCGUUGUUGUUCUGUUGACAAGUGUCCACGGCGACGGUGACGAUGGCGACGACAAUGACUGCAAUGGCAAUACAAACUUAUUCAUAAGUCCAAAGUGGUGGAGUCAGCUUUCUUUUGAGUGACAGCUCGAAUCCAAAGUGGUUGAGUCAGCUCUCCUUGGAGUGGCAGCUACUGGCUCUGGGAUCUUAGCAGAAACUGCUUUGUGACCAUCUUCCAGGCCUUGCCAGCAGAUAAGAGGGAGCAGGAAUGCCCAUCUGCAUCCUGUUUUUCACAGGGCACGAUGGUAUCAUUCCCCAAUUUUCCCACACCAAGCUGCGUCUAUUUAGUCACAGGCCAAAUCUUCCGCUAGAAACCACUCCUGAGCACUCUCUUCCAGAGACAAACAGCUCCAAAGAAGUGCUUUCAAAUGUAAAAUUGUCCACACAGUGACGUGUAUUGCCACAGGGCAGCACCCACCUCUCAUCUAAGUCAGAGUCUUAUCGCAAGAAAUGCCUCAGAAAGCAAGCUUUGAGCCAAAAACCAAAGAAGGAUUUAUACAUCAUCCUAAAUACAAAAUGCAGCACCAUACCAGCUACCAGGAAGAAAAUUAACUCUAUCUCCACAGAAAGCACACUGCUUUCUUCUCACAGUAUGGAAUUUGAGGAGGGCUAAAUUAUACCCACUCACAAGGGAACUUGGUAUUGUUUCUCAAUUUAGUAAGCUAGCAUAAUAAGUAUAGCUUUGGAAAAGUAGGCAGACUCUCUGAGUAGGUAAGUACACAAAUAAGUUAUUUGCAGAUAGAUAAAGGACAGAAAAUGAAAUGGAAAAUAAAAAUAUAUUUGCUUGCCAAAUUACACUUUAUAAUGUGAUCGUAACUCUUUAUUUUUGUGUUUCGUGUAUAUAAUUUAUUUUUCUGUACCAACACUUCAGCUGAAAUCUCCCAGAGGAUCAUUAUUUAUCACUGAUUUAGAAUUAUAAAAUGACAAAAGACUUCCACUAAACAUAUUAUUAAAAAAAAAAAAAAAAAAAACACACACAACAAAAAAACAGUCAAUCAGUGUGUUGAAAUUAAUGGCAAUCUACAAAAUUUCAUUAUACUCAAUCACCAUUUAGCACACGAAUAAAGAAAAUUAAAGUUUCUCUUUUUUCACUAUCUAUCUGCCCUGGCUCAUUUUAGUUGCUUCAGCAGCUCUCUGAAAAAGAUAUAUGUUACCACAUCUCCUCAAGGGUACUAGAUAUGUGCUAUUUCUGAUUAAGGAGACUUCACUAAGAAUGUCCUGCCAAUAUUCUUAUCCCUUUUACAGCUAGAAGGAUCCUACUUGAGUGACAUCUGACGUGUCAUGCUUGAGGUGCAACUGUAAGACCACUAUGCCUGAGAAGACAGUAAUGGUUUUCCAGAUCAGUUCAGAAAGAACAGGCCUUGUCUUUUAGCUUUCAAGAGCUUAUCACAAUGUUGAUCAUCCAGGACAGGUGACUAAUUUAGUCUUUGUUGCUGUUUGACUUUAAGCUCAGAGUUACAGAAUCACAGAACCGCAGGAGUUGGAAGGGAACCCGGGAGAUCAUCAAGAUCAACUCCACUGCUAAAGCAGGUUCCCUACAGUGCACAGGAAAGCAUUCAGUAAUGCUCCAGUAAUCCAUUAACUGCAUGCUGUUAAAGGAGCAGGAACUCUUGUAGAGAUGGUCAUUUAAUCUAGAAGAUUACAAAUGCCUCUGCUUGAUGUUUGACUCCGUCUAUGCUGCAAACCAAGGACUUAUGAGGCAGACUGAACUGGGAUGACUGUGAGCACUGACACAAGCAACAGCA